GUACAUGCCUAUAACAUAUGAUUAAUACAUCAAAUCCCCUGAGAAAUCCACAGUUAAGUGCACUCGAGCUAUAUUAGUACUAGGAUGGGUGACCACCCAGGAAGUCCUAGUGUUUUACAUU
rfam:Picea glauca, whole genome shotgun sequence.